rnacentral:lncRNA from 1 species
UCCCUCUGGCCACACCAAAGAGCACUUAACAUGCAUGAGGGUCUCAGGUCAAGAGUAUAUUGAAUAGUCGACAGUUACAUGGUCUCUAGCUUUCCAGAAGAGGCUGAACUGAUGAUGUCUGUGGAGAAAAGAACACGAAGGAAUAAUGUAACAUGAAACUCCCUAACAUGAUACACAUACAAAGACUAUGGAGAAAUCAAUGUGGAAAAUGCAAAACUAAGGAAGAAAGCAUUUUGAACCACUCAUCUAAGAAUAUGGUCAGUAUUAAAAAGACAAGAAUUCCAGAAAAAUCUUCCAAGUUAUGUUCCUAGGCUUAGCAGAAUAAAGGUAAGGCUUACUAGUUAAA